UACGUAGGGUGCAAGCGUUGUCCGGAAUUAUUGGGCGUAAAGAGCUCGUAGGCGGUUUGUCGCGUCUGCUGUGAAAACCCGAGGCUCAACCUCGGGCCUGCAGUGGGUACGGGCAGACUAGAGUGCGGUAGGGGAGAUUGGAAUUCCUGGUGUAGCGGUGAAAUGCGCAGAUAUCAGGAGGAACACCGGUGGCGAAGGCGGGUCUCUGGGCCAUAACUGACGCUGAGGAGCGAAAGCGUGGGGAGCGAACAGG
rnacentral:rRNA from 1 species